AUUAAAAGACACUUGCUCCUUGGAAGGAAAGCUAUGGCAAAUCCGGACAACAUACUAAAAAGCAGCGAUGCCACCUUGCCAAGAAAGACCAUGAGCUCACGUUUGAAACACUGGACUUUUCCUCCAGAAGACAACCAUUCUCUGGUGUGAAUACAAACAAACAAAGUCUAAUCUAAAAAAAGACUCCAGGCUGAAGCAUGUGAAAAUUAAUUUCUGAAAAACAGUUUGACUGUCUCUCAUUCUGCUUCAUCAUACCAUUUGGGAAAAAUUUAAGACACAUGGAUUUUGGUGCAUCUGAUUGGAAAGAAGGUUGAAGGUCAGGCCCAUCAGUAAAGUGGUUCACAAAUACCAAUAGUUUGUGUUGCCUCACCUCAAAUGGCAGAACACCAUCUCCCAUGAGGCUGGGUCAGAGCAUUACUGCCACAUUUACUGCUAUUCUCCUGCAGGCUAUGAUAAGACUGGGUGAUGUCAGGUUUCCAAUAUGUCAGCAACAAAAUUAGUUUGGGAGAAAGGCCAUUGUGUGCAGGGCUGGCUGAGGAAAUGCUUCAAGGACUCACUGACUGAAGUAAUGUUUGAAGGAAUUCCAUGCUGUUGGAGAUUAAAAAACAAACCAACCAACCAGCUUUCCCUGUGGUAGCAGCACAAGUCUCAAUGUGAUUAUACUUUUUGAGUAGCAAUUAGAGAUAGGGAUGCUGAGAAGACAUAGCUGGGAGUUAAGGAGCUAGGAUUACAAACUGCAACACGUCUGAGGAGUAAUUAUCUACUCCAAUCAAUGGUAAAGAACCUCUGUUCCUUUAAUUUGGAAGGGCUUGCCCAUCAAUCGUUCUCAGAGGUAGUAUUUGCACACUGAAGGUGUGACACUGUUGGCGGCAUAUUGAUAUCAUAUUUAUAAAGACAUUAGGGACCUCUUCCUGUAACUUAAAUCAAGUGACACAUUUACUUCCCAUAGGCAUGAACUUGCCCUAGUCCAUCUUCAGUACAUCUUCUUGCCCUGAUAACUGUAAUUAUUCAAGGGCUUGUGGCAUUGUCAGGAUUAUGAUGUAAGACACUAAUUUCCCCUCCCAUUUUAUCCCCUUAUGUCAGUGAUGCAUGAGAGAGAUGCAUAAUGUUUUAAGUCUAUCAGGUACUUGCCAUCAGGGCAUAUUGACAUUCUGCCCUAGUUUCGUAUGUUUGGUUUAUCUCCUGAGAUUCAUUUCACCUGAGGGAAUGAAAGACUAGAGAACAGUGAAAUGGCAGCAGGGUGGUUAGGGGGCUUUCUGAAGUUGGAGAGGAAGAGAGAUGAAAAUGGCAAUUCACAAAGAGAUAGUCUACUGUUGUUAAGAUUUUAACAGUGAGGCUACUUACUUUUUUGGGCAUGAGCCUGAAUGAAGUGUAGUCAGUAAGUACAACUGAGCUUAGGGAGAAACGGAGGCCUGUCAGGAGGAGGCAGUUGAGACUAGUCCCUGUGAAGAGUUGAACUAAGUCCCAGACCAGGCAGAUUCUUAGUAUUCUGUUGUGAAGGGGUAGAUGGGUCAUCCAAGCUUCAGAUGUCUCCCCUCUACCUCAUCUAUGCUUGGGGUGUCAGAUGGAACAAAGUGACUUGGACUUGGGAGAUCAAAUUGAUUGUAUGAAUGGUUGAAUGAGAAUUAAAUCUUGUAAUCAUUGAUACUUCAGUUUUAUUAUGUUAUUAUCACCUUGAUUAAACAUUUUUUCCUAACUAUGCAUGGAGGCUUGAAUAAUUAGGAGACAGAAGAGGAACAAAAGAUGGAAGUUUUCCUAGUAGUCCAGAAUCCAAUUGGAUAAUUCACACAUAAGCAAUCCUAGACUAAUUGAGCAAGUGGUACCUCUCAUAAAUGGGUUGAGGAAGGAAAGAGAGACAGCUAACUUUCUGAGAGCCAAGUUUGGGGUUUCACUUUGUGUCAUGUGGUAAUGUACAUAAUGGACAGCUAGGUAGCACAGUGGAUAGAGUGCCAGGCCUGAAGUCAGGAAGACCUGAGUUCAAAUCUGA